GGAUGAGAUUGAGAGAGAGAAUGAGAGGGUAAGAUAAGAGGGAGGAGUACCAAAAGUGAAAACAAUUUCAAAUAGAUUUCAGUUUUUAGUUCUUGUUUUCACUUUUGUUACUCCUUCUCAUCCUCCCUUCUCAUCUUUUCUC
rnacentral:miRNA from 1 species